UAUUGCAAAAUCUCUCCUUGGUGUGGAGUGAAAUUUUGCCUCGUAGAUACUGGCACUUGUCAGACAAUCAGGUGGCUAUCAAUUCGACUCGUAAACGAGUUAAGGCAAUUGUUCAAUAUAUUCAAGAAGAAUUAAAUCAUGGCCUUGUAAUUUGCCAUACAAAUAUAAAAGCUCAAGAUAGAGGUUUAUUUCAGGCUUGACGGAGUGCACUUGUCAGUUGAAGGUAAUGAUGUUUUUUUAAAUAAUGUUCAGGGAGCUUAAGAGUUGUUUACAAGUACGGACCGUCGAGUAUUUCCUAAUUGAUGAGACUAUAAAUUAUAUUUCAGUACGGUGUAGUAAACUCGUUUCGUUGGGGAUGAGAGUGUAUAGACCUUCUCAUUUUGGCGGGAUCUGGCAAGAUGACAGGGGGUCAUGACCCUAUAAUUCUACGUUAGACCAUAUGCUAAAAUAUUCUACUGUGGUACCACAGGGAAGUUGUGUUUUUUAUAAACGGCUUUCUCUUGUUUACCAGAGCGGCCGGUUCAUCACUGUUACCAGUUUUGAAUUUUAUCCUCCGAGUACCGAGGAAGCGUUAUUCAAGUUAUGGCCUAGCGUCAGUGUGGGGUCGUGCUCCUCGUUCACUCUAAUUUUGCUUAGAGGAACUUUUGUUACUUCUGUUACCAGAAGAACACCUACUUGCCAAUAUUAAAAAUGCCGGCGGUUUGUAUCGUCUUGCCAGGCCUCGUUUACUGUUUUUUCCCCUGCGGCCGAUUUGAUUCCACAUAAGAUUUCUUGAAUUAUUUAGUAUUAGGAGUUGCGUAAUGAUUGCCUAUGAGACAACUCAGCUGUAAAACAACGUUGGUAUUAGCAUCUAAAGGUAACCGUACAACCUUCAAUAAUGAGCAAAACCGUUACCAUAUGCGGCCUGUUUUAUUCCACAC
rnacentral:lncRNA from 1 species